CCGAGCCUCCCCGGGCAGCGGCAGGGAGCGGCCCCGGCUGCCACGGGCCGCGCCCGGCGCUCAAGCCGCGCUGACACUGCCAUCGAUUCCAGGCCACAACUGCGACGCCUCUGGACCGGGACAGUCCUUGUACUGUUAGGAACUCCUACAGCCUACAGAAGAUGAUGAUGAUUUAACCCAGCCAAGAUGAAUUAGCCAACUGCAUCGAUCUGGGAAGAACAGAGAAAAUACCAGAGAGAGAAGUUGUUUGGGCAAGAAAUCUGCUGCAGUUUGAAAGCACAAGUACUAAAAAGACAACUCUGAUGGAGAACAAAGGGAACUCUGCAGUUCACAGACAAAGACAUUAGCAGCAUUGCAGUCUAAACAGUGCUGCCAAUAAAAGUCGCAAUUUAGACUUCUCCUCCA